rnacentral:rRNA from 1 species
AGCAGCCGCGGUAAUUCCAGCUCCAAUAGCGUAUAUUAAAGUUGCUGCAGUUAAAAAGCUCGUAGUUGAAUUUCGGGGUCAGUAGGUUGGUCGUGCCACUGGUAUGCACUGGUCUCACUGAUUCCUCCUUCCUGAUGAACCGUAAUGCCAUUAAUUUGGUGUUGCGGGGAAUCUGGACUGUUACUUUGAAAAAUUAGAGUGUUUAAAGCAGGCUAACGCUUGAAUACAUUAGCAUGGAAUAAUGAAAUAGGACGAUCGAUCCUAUUUUGUUGGUUUCUAGGAUUGACGUAAUGAUUAAUAGGGAUAGUUGGGGGCAUUAGUAUUCAAUUGUCAGAGGUGAAAUUCUUGGAUUUAUUGAAGACUAACUACUGCGAAAGCAUUUGCCAAGGAUGUUUUCAUUAAUCAAGAACGAAAGUUAGGGGAUCGAAGACGAUCAGAUACCGUCGUAGU